AGCCAUGGCUAGGGGUGCUUUCAACAAGCUGAGAGACAAUAUCAUUGUCAACCCUGUUACCUGAUCUGGUUAGUACCAGCGUAGGGAAGCGGAUAAACGAAUGU
rnacentral:ncRNA from 2 species